rnacentral:rRNA from 1 species
AAAUUGAAGAGUUUGAUCAUGGCUCAGAUUGAACGCUGGCGGCAGGCCUAACACAUGCAAGUCGAACGGUAACAGGAAGCAGCUUGCUGCUUCGCUGACGAGUGGCGGACGGGUGAGUAAUGUCUGGGAAACUGCCUGAUGGAGGGGGGUAACUACUGGAAACGGUAGCUAAUACCGCAUAAUGUCGCAAGACCAAAGAGGGGGACCUUC